GCUAUGAAGAGGAAGAAAGAGAAUAUCUAAGAGCGGUGGGAAUGGGAACAUGGAGGAAAGCAUCAUGCAGACAUUUGUCUCAGUGUUUUUCUGAUGCCUCCCAUUCCUACGGUUCUUAGGUACUCCUUCCUCUUCCUUUGGCCU
rnacentral:pre_miRNA from 1 species